rnacentral:tRNA from 2 species
GCCUUCGUAGCUCAGUGGAGAGAGCGCGGCGUUCCGGGCGCCGAGGUCGCUGGUUCGAGUCCAGCCGGGGGCGCGA